rnacentral:lncRNA from 1 species
CAAAAUAGGAAUAUGUAUAUUAAGAAAGAAACUGGAAUGGCUAUUGCCAAAAUACAAGAAAACUAGAGACCCUUGAAACUAGACUAGAAGCAAGAAAGGAGUUGACAAGAGUGAAGAGGGCUUCACUCUUGCCUCUAUAUAUACUAUCUAACUAGAAGCCACGUGGCGAUGUUCUAUAAGACCUCCAAUAUAUGUUGACUUUCUAGGCCACAUGCCUUUGCUUGCAAGGCAAGUUUUCUAUGGAUGGACCACGUAGUUAGCUUGUUCUUUAAGCUUCCAACAUGUGUGGCACAUGGCUAACUUGUUGACCAAGUUUCUAGCCUAAAAGUCAACUAUAGACUCCUAUAAAGUCAAAGCAGCGUCUAUGAAGCUUCUAAGAAGCUACUCUAGAAGAUAUUACACAAUUAACCUACUUUUAUCUACUUUUACAUACUUUUAUCUAUUCAUAUAGAUAAUUAUAUGUAUGUCCGUGACAAUAACAAAUCUUUGAUGUUGUCUUUUAACCCAAACCAAAAUUGAUUGAUAAGAAUAUUUCUAUUCCAAUCUAUAUCAAAAGUGAAGUUUUGGAAUUCAAUAGCAUAUAUGAUAGCUAAUUGUGAUUUUUGUUCUAAAGAUAAGAGCUUGGUCUCUGCUAUUCUUUCUUCAUUACUUUUUUAAAUGUAAUCAUUGUCAUGUGAUAAUACAACUAUAUAGUAAGAAAUAAAAAUAUGGAUAUUAUUUUAGAAGAACCUAAAAAAAAGAUGUAAUAGAAGAUUUAGUCUUAAUGCUGCCUUUUUGUAGAAGGAACUUCUAUUUACUUUGUAGAAGCAAAAAUGAGCCAAAUCAAAGUAAAUGAAAUAAAAAAUAAUAUAGACAUGUGUAAAAAAGAGUUAAGAGUAGAUUUCAUCAAAUUUUACCUCAAAAAGCCAAGAAUUGAUACUUAAAGAAGAGUGAUUGUCAACCUAGGUUGAAAUCAGGCCCCAAGAUACAAAACCAUACACUUAUGGUAACUUUGGAGUUCUUUGAUAGAUUAAAGAAUAAGAAUUAAAAAUAAAUAAAUAAAUAAAUAAAAAAUCAAGAGAGAUUUUUGAACAUUGAUAUUAUAUCAAUCAAGUCAAUAUUGAAUUUUUGAGGGAUUUUCAAAGUUAGUAAUGUUCUCAAUUGGUUUAGAUUUUUAAGAAAUAAAAAUAUGUUUACAAAUUUGAGAGAUUUUAAAGUUUUGUAGUAUAUAUAUAAGUCAAUUUUGGAUAGUAUGUUGGUAUUGUAGUUAUCAAUAUGUGUGCAAAUUUUGAGGUCAAUUAAAUAAUUAGAUUGAAUAAUGUAAAGAUUUUUGUGGGUUGAGGUCUUAGGAAUUGGAGUUCAAAGGUCAGAGAGUAUUUCUAAGAUUUUCAGUAAUCUAUUGAUUGGAUUGAAGUGAAUUUUUUUUAUAUGAAUACUAGACUCAAUUUUCAAUAUUUUAAGUAAACUUUAGAAGCAAUUCAAUAGUUCAAAAAUGAGAUAUUGGCAUUAGAAGUUUAGCAUUUAGAUUGGAAUAAGAGGCCACCUAACAUCUGAUUGGAUUGUCUUGUUUUUCUUUCAAUUGAUAAGUGCAAUUGAUUUCAUCUUUUUUGUACUUAUUUUUAAUUAAGACAUAAGAAAAUAUGCAAAAUUUUAGUUGAUAUCAAUGGUUCAACUAUUAGUUGUUGAGGUUCUAUUUAUUAUAGAGUUUAUUAAGAGUUUGCUUAAAAUCUAGGAUUUGAUUAGAAUUGGUUUUGGUUUUGGUUUUGAAUUUGCUUAGGAUUUGGUUUAGAACUAGUCUAAGAUUUGUUUAAGAUUUAGAAUUUUAUUAGGAUUUCAAUUAGGAUUUGAUUUAGGAUUUAACCUAAAAUUUUAUUAAGAUUUAAUUAGGAUUUUAAUUAAAAAUAUAAUAUGAUUUUUAUUUUUAUAUUUCUUUAGUAUUAUUUAUUAUUUAUUUAAAUUUUUUGUUUAUAUUAUUUUUUUGAGAUUAUUUUCAGUUAUUUAAAGAUUUAUUUUUAUAUUUUUUUAAAAUUUCUUAUUAUUGUUUUUUAAGAUUAGUUUGGAAUUUCUUUGUGUUUCUUUUAUAACUUCUUUUAAAUUUAUUUUUAUUUGAUCAAAGUUCAAUGAGGAUUAUUAAGGUCUACUUAAGGUUAUUUAAGAUUCUAUUAGAUUUGAUUGGAUUGUUCUUGUAUUUCUACUGAUCUUCUACAACUAGGUGCGUAGUGUAUUUUUGAGCAAGAACACACGUAAUACAACACCAUAAAUACUUUUAGGAAUGAAUUCAAAUUGUAAAGGAAUCAUGAAUCUUUUUUUAUUAAAAGUGAAAACCAAAAGAAAGUACUAACUAAUAGAAAAGUACUUUUAAAUCCAAUUUGAGCAAAUCCUUUAAGAUAUUGGAAGAGAUGUAAUCUUAAAUAGAACUUGAUUCUUUGCAAAAAUCCUCUAAAUUUUGAUCUUGUUCUUUCAAACUUCUCAUGCAUAUUAAUCCUUGUCACAAUCAUACUUAAAGUAGCAAACUUCUUGGAUUUGGUUAUAAGAUUGAUCUAUUUGUUUUCUUCAAUCUCUCAAUUUUUUGAUGCAGAUUGUAAAGUACUUCUAUAGGCAUAGGAUUUGUAUUUCUAAGGUUGACGCUAGUGAUGUGUAAAUUUUUUGCCCUAAGAGUGUUUAUAAGUUCUUGAAGAUCUGCAAUAAUUACAAAUAUAUUAUUAUUUUUACUAAAAGUAGUAUCUAUAAUUUUUCCUUUUAUUUCAAACAAUUUAGAAAUCCAAAAUUCAAAUUAGAAGAGGAUAAUCUGCAACUUCUAAUGUCAAAAAAAAAAAAUCUACUCUCUUUAAGAAAAAAAUUAGUGUUAAAAAAUUAAAUAAUUUAUUUAAAGGUGGAUAGUUUUCAACCUUCAAAAUACAACAAUAGAAGUCGGAUAAUCUACUAUCUUUUAAAAUAAGACAAGAACAAUGAAUUAACACUCUUGUUAAAUUGUUAAGGAUAUGAAUCUUGAAGAAAGAAAUUCCCAAUACACUCUUAUGUCACUCAAAUGGACUAAAAAAUCACUCAACAAUGAUACAAUAAUAAAUUAGAAUGGCUAUUGCUAAAGACAAGAACAUUAGAAAGUCUUGGAACAAGAGUAAGGACUAGAAAGGUUUUGAUAAGAAUGAAGAAGGCUUUAUUCUUGCUUCUAUAUAUAUUCUUAACUAUGAGCUAUAUGACGAUGUUUUAUAGGACCUUCAAAACAUGUAUAACAGAUAUACAUAUUUACUAUGAUAUUUAUCUAUAUAAUUUAGUAGAAAUAAGUAAAAGUAGAUUUUUUUCAUAAUAUUUUUUAAAAAGAUUUUUAGAAGCUUCAUAAACAUUACUUUAGCUAUAUAUGUGUUUGUAGUUGAUUGGUAGGUUAAAAACUUGGUCAACAAGUAAAUCACAUGUUGGUAGCUUAUGAAACAAGCUAAUUUUGUGGCACAUAUAUAAAAAAAUUGCCUUACAAGUUAAGAUAUGUAUUUUACAAAGUCAACAAGUUUUGGAGGUCUUAUAGAAUAUUGCCAUGUAGCUCUUAAUUAAGAGUAUAUAUGGAAGCAAAAAUGAAGCCUUUUUCACUCUUGUCAAUAUUUUUUUAGUCCUUAGUCUUAUUUCAAGAUUUUUUAAUCUAUUUAUUUUUGAUAAUAGCCAUUCUAAUUCAAUACUAUAACAUCUUUGAGUGACUUUCUAAUUCUUUUCAGUGACACAAGAAUAUAUUAAGAAUUUCUUUCUUCGUACUUUAUGUCCUUGAUAAUGUGUUGACUUUGAAAGACAUGUAUCUUAAGUUGCAAGGCAAGUUUUUAUAUGUAUGCUACAUAAUUAACUUAUUUUAUAAGCUAUUAAUAUAUGUGUCACAUUACUAACUUGUUGGUCAAAUUUCUAGCCUAUCAAUUAACUACAAAUAUAUAUAAAGACAAUUUCAAUUUAUAAAUUAAAAAUAAAGAUAUAAAACUUUGAAAAGAAUUGAACUUACAAAUUGGAAGAGAAUUAUCUUAAUCCACUUGGGUAGUGGCUUCUUGUCAGGGACAAGAACUCGAUGAAAGCUAAAGAGUAAGUGAGACUUUUCUCAAAAAGAAAUAGGACAAAAUAGGAAUAUGUAUAUUAAGAAAGAAACUGGAAUGGCUAUUGCCAAAAUACAAGAAAACUAGAGACCCUUGAAACUAGACUAGAAGCAAGAAAGGAGUUGACAAGAGUGAAGAGGGCUUCACUCUUGCCUCUAUAUAUACUAUCUAACUAGAAGCCACGUGGCAAUGUUCUAUAAGACCUCCAAUAUAUGUUGACUUUCUAGGCCACAUGCCUUUGCUUGCAAGGCAAGUUUUCUAUGGAUGGACCACGUAGUUAGCUUGUUCUUUAAGCUUCCAACAUGCGUGGCACAUGGCUAACUUGUUGACGAAGUUUCUAACCUAAAAGUCAACUAUAGACUCCUAUAAAGUCAAAGCAGCGUCUAUAAAGCUUCUAAGAAGCUUCUCUAGAAGAUAUUACUACUUUUAUCUACUUUUACAUACUUUUAUCUAUUCAUAUAGGUAAUUAUAUGUAUGUCCGUGACAUUACCCCCCCUUCUAGGGACGAGUUCCACGAGGAGCGGUGAUUAUAUAUUGAGAAAAUCUAAUAUGCGGCGAAUUGUAUUUAUUACAUACUCUGAUCUUUGUUCUCUUUGAAGAUAGUUGAUGGGUCCUCUUAGCCAUCGAUAGUGUCCCAUUCCAGGGCGAGAAGACCACCCUGUUAUUUGAUCACUGUUGAGGCCUUCAUAACUUCCUUCAAAUAAUACAUUUGAAACACCAUCAGGAGUCGUUCCUAUCUCCAAUAAUAUCACCAAACAUCGAGAAUCUCUUCCAAGGUCGUGAUACCAAAUGCGUUGUAUCUCACCAUCUAUUCGAGGAAGAACAUGUCGUUCUUCAGGAUCUUCAUCUCGGUUGCGUCGUCUUGAAGGUUGUGACAAUCGCAAUGUCUCAUCCGGUAAGUCAGCAAACGAAGGUUCUUGAGUUGAAUCCGCUGGUUGUUGGCUCUCCAUCUAAUAAGCGUCACAAAUGCAAAGAAGUUACAAACAAGGAUAGGAAAUUGAAUGUUAUCUUGCCUCAAUCUUGUCUCUUUUAUAAGAGAGGUUUUCAUCUUGGUUUUGAUGGAUGUCGUUGAUGAAAAACUUUGACUUUAGCUGAUGCAUUUGCUAGAUUCCUGGAUGGCUCCCAUGUGUGCUCACUAAUAUCAUAUCCGCACCAAUGAACAAGAUAUUCCAGCUUAUUUCGGCGCCGCCUUGAGUCUAAUAUCUCUUCCACCUCAAAUUCUUCAUUAUUAUCUACUUCUAUAGGAGGCAGUGGCAUUUGUCUUCUUCCUUGUAUAUCCACUGUCUUAUAUGGUUCAAGAAGAGACACGUGGAAUACAGGAUGGAUCUUCAUUGACUCCGGUAGAUGUAACCGAUAUGCAACUGGGUUGAUCUGUUCAGAAACAGAAAAGGGGCCAAGCCUACGAUAGUCCAAUUUGUCACAAGGUCGAGUGGUCUUGAUAUUGCGACGAAGUAGCCAUACCUUAUCACCCACGUUGAGUUGUGGUUGCUCUUUACGAUAUACAUCUGCAUUUAUCUUUUGUCGUUCUUGAGCUUUCUUCAACUGCGCCUUCAUUAUUGCAUGUAACUCUGACAACCGAUUUGCCAUAUCUUCUGCUGCAGGAUUAUCAACUUUUGAAAAAUCAAAAGUAUCAAGUCGUGGAUGAUAGCCAUAAUUGGCAAAGAAAGGUGUUUGUUGCGUGGAGGAAUGUACCGUAUUAUUAUAAGCAAACUCUGCCAAUGGCAGAAGGUUUGUCCAAUCAUCUUGUUGGUAGUUGAUGGUACACCUUAAAUACUGUUCCAAGACUUGGUUUACGCGCUCUGUUUGUCCAUCAAUUUGAGGAUGGAAAGCUGAAGAUAGCUUUAUGUCCACUUUUAAAAUCUUGAAAAGAGUCCUCCAGAAUCUCGACACAAAUUGAGUUCCCCUAUCCGAUAUGAUAUCUUUAGGUAAUCCAUGAUAGCGAUAGAUAUUAUCAAUGAAAAGCUUAGCUGUUUCUUCACCUGUGAUAGAUUUUGUACAUGGCAUAAAAUGUGCCAUCUUGGUGAAACGAUCUACUAUCACAAAUAUAGAAUCAUAAGAUCUUGAGUUUGGAAGAUCUGUGAUGAAAUCCAUAGAAACAGAAGACCAUGGUUGUUCUGGUAUAGGUAAUGGCUGAAGAAGUCCGUAAGGUCGAUGUCGAGGAAUUUUUGAUCUUGAACAAAUAUCACAUGAUUGUACAAAGUCUUUGACUGACUUCCACAUUUGUGGCCACCAAAAAUCUCUUGAUAUGAGUUCCAGAGUCUUAUUAUAUCCAAAGUGCCCUGCUGCUGGAAAGUCAUGACGUGCUUGAAGAACACGCAAACGUGCUUUUCCUUCUAGAACAUAUAGGCGUCCUUCAAAAUAUAAUAGAUUAUUCUUGAACUCGAACUUAGAAGAAUCAUAAGACUUGGAAGAAUUAUUCUCGAUAUCAUGAACAAGAGGGUCUGAGGACAUACUGGACUGGAUUUCCUUGAGAAAAGUUGAAUCAACAGUCAAUGUUGAUUUCACUGCUCGGAGAUGAAAUUGCUCCGGUUUCAAGAGGACCGUUCUUUGUUGCUCAAAAGCUGCAUCUCCUUCUUUUGGUGCAAAAUAAGAACGUCUAGACAGGGCAUCGGACAAACCUUGUUGUUUUCCUGGCCGAUAAGUGAUAAUGAACUCGAAUCUUGACAAAGACAUACUCCAACGAGCUUGACGACGAUUCAACACGCGUGCUGACAUGAAAUACUCGAGGUUCUUGUGAUCUGUAUAUACAGUGACUGGACUAGAAGCACCUUCUAGAUAAUGAUGCCAUUCUUGAAAGGAAUCCACGAUUGCAAGAAGUUCUUUAUCGUGGAUCUCAUAAUUGAUCUCGGCUGCUGAGAAUUUUCUUGAAUGAAAAGCUAUCGGAUGAAGUUUGUCAUCUGUUCCCAUUUGUGAUAAAACUACACCCAAGGCAAAAUCCAAUGCGUCUGUUUCCAUAAAAAAUACCUUGGAAAAGUCAACACGAUAUAAGACUGGUGCAGAGACAAACGAUGUCUUCAAGGCUUCAAAUGCUGCUUCUGCUUCUUGAUUCCAUUGGAAUUUAUCUUUACUAGUCAAGCGUGUAAGUGGAGCUGCAACUCGUGAGAAGUCUUUGAUGAAGAUCCGAUAGUAAUUGACAAAUCCCAAGAAACAUUGGACAUCUCUCACAGUCUUUGGAAUCUUCCAAUCCAUGAUUGUUUGGACUUUCUUAGAAUCCAUCAUAAGACCAUCAUUUGAAAUGAUGUAUCCUAAAAAGUCAACUUGAGUAGUGUGAAAUACACACUUUUCCAUCUUGGCGUACAAUCCUGCAUCUCUAAGUUUUUGUAAUACUUGACGAACAUGUAUUUCAUGUUCUUCAACAUUCUUAGAAUAAAUCAGGAUAUCGUCUAAGUAGCAGACGACAAAAUUGUCUAAGAAUUCACGAAAUACAUCAUUCAUGAGAUGUUGAAAAGCAGCUGGUGCAUUCGUGAGUCCAAAAGGCAUGACAUUAUAUUCAAAAUGCCCGUACCUGGUUCGAAACGCAGUCUUCCAUUCAUCUCCUUGUUUAAUCCGUACUAGAUUAUAUGCUCCUUUUAGAUCUAUUUUUGUAUAGAUCUUAGCUUGAUUUAACUGGUCAAGGAGUCCUGAUAUCAAAGGUAAUGGAUACCUGUUCUUGAUUGUGAUCUUGUUGAGUCCUCGAUAGUCAACACACAUUCGUAAAGAUCCAUCUUUUUUCUUUACGAAUAAAAUUGGAGCUCCUGCUGGAGAUUUUGAAUGGCGUAUGAAAUUCUUUGCUAAAUUCUCGUCAAUAUAUGUCUUGAGUUCAGCCAACUCAUCUUGCGAUAAACUGUAAAUUGGUCCAAAUGGUGGCUGAGUUCCUUCCUUGAGAUCGAUUGAACAAUCGUAUGGGCGAUGCUCAGGAAGAAUAUCUGCAUUCUUUUUCUCAAAAACGUCUUGAUAAUCCUGAUAUUGACUUGGAAUGCCACUUGAAGUCUUUACGCUUUCAGAAAUAGGUGCAGCAUAAAUAGCAAAAGUUGAUCCUUCUUUUGCUGCGUGUAUAAAUGCUUUUGCACCUAUAGGUGCGAGUUCUACUAUACUAGACUCAUGGUUUUUUACUUCGUUAAUAGAACUGUUAGUAAUGCUCUGAGGAAAAUCAAGUUUACGAGAAAUCCAAUCUAUUGGAGGAUUAUACUUUUCUAACCAUGAUAAGCCUAAAAUUACUGGAUUAGAGGGAGAUCUAAUUAUAUUAAAAAUUAUGCAACUACUAUGACCAUUUAUUACUACAUCUACAGGAAGUGUUUCGUGAGUUACAUCUCCAGAAGGCAACGGACGACCAUCUAUGACUUCUACGUGUACAGGUUUAGUUUUUUGUAUUAAUGAUAUUCUAUGACAUCUAGCAAAUUCUUCAUCUAAAAAACAAGCUAAGGCUCUUGAAUCUAUCAAGGCAGAGGCUUUGUAAUUAUUAGGUCCUAAACGCACAUCUAUUAUAAAACAAGGAGAUGGUUCUGAGGAGAUGAUAGGACCUUUAUUAGAAGUUGUACAAGAUUCCAGCCGCACGGUCCCUAUUGUAGCUGGACGUACUCGUUUUCCGACAUACUGUCUUCUUUGACAGCCGUACUCCUCAUUUUGUAGUUACGUCGCUUCUUUGGACAAUGUUGAGCAGUGUGCUUAGGUUCUCCACAAUAUAAGCACAAUCCUUCUUGUCGACGACGAGACUUUUCUUGCUCAGUAAGAGGUUUGAAACGUACCGCAUCAAUUUGCAUAUCCUCUACUUCCGAAGGUAUGUGUUGAGGAGACGUCGGUGUUGCCAUUGAAUUGUAGUAACGUUGAGGCCCACUUGUGCGACUCUCGGAUCGAAAUUCAAAAAGUCGAUUGUCGCACUUCACAGCAAAGUCAAUUGCUUGACUCAAUGUUUGAAGAUCAGGUAAAUUAAGCAUCAAUUUCUUUACCUCAUAUUGUAAUCCGUAGAGAAAUUGACUCACAAGUGCGGCAUCAUCCCACUUGAUAUCAGUUGCAAGUUAUCGAAAUUGCGAAGCAUAUAAUGUUACUGAUCGAUUGCCUUGUCGCAAAAUACGGAUCUUGUUGGUUGCAACACGAAUUGCAUCAUGUUCUCCAAACAUGGAUCGAAACUCCGCCAAAAAAGCCUCCAGAUUAUCCAAUAUUGGAUCUCGUCGUUCAAGAAAAGAUGAAAACCAUGACAAUGCUGAACCUGAAAGAAGUGUACCAAUGAAUCUUACUUGUGACCCUGGAGUUGGAUAGCUCUGGGGUUGAAGUUCAAUCACUAGUUGGACCUGAUUGAUGAAUCCUCGAAACUUGGAUCUGGUACCAUCAAACUUCUCGGGCAAGGCAACUCUCGGUUCUCUAACACUCGAAGGGUGUUCCAUUCUGGGAGAAGGGACAUGGUUUGGUGCAGAUGUUGAAGCAGCCCCAAUCAUCUCUAUAUCUUCACUUCCUACCAUUCUUGUUGCUCCUUGUGGUGGUAAAUUGAGUUGAUGCAUCGCAAGCAUUAACUCCCUCAAUUGUUCUUGCAUCUGUGCCAUUGCACUCUUCAUUUCAACAAGCUCUGCCAUAGUAGCACUUAGAAAAGAGAAGAUGUCUAACAACGCUCAAAACAAAUAGAAGAGAGGAAUUGAUAACAAAGAAAAUACUAAGAACAAUAUCAGUUUAAAAGAGGGUAAUCCGCAACUUCUAAUGCGCUUAUGUCUUAUCAAGAAAAAGGGGUAAUCCACUCUUAAUCAAGAAAAGACAAAGCUCUGAUAUUGUAAGUGUACUCUUGUCAAUCUGUCAAGGACAAGAACUCGAUGAAAGCUAAAGAGUAAGUGAGACUUUUCUCAAAAAGAAAUAGGACAAAAUAGGAAUAUGUAUAUUAAGAAAGAAACUGGAAUGGCUAUUGCCAAAAUACAAGAAAACUAGAGACCCUUGAAACUAGACUAGAAGCAAGAAAGGAGUUGACAAGAGUGAAGAGGGCUUCACUCUUGCCUCUAUAUAUACUAUCUAACUAGAAGCCACGUGGCGAUGUUCUAUAAGACCUCCAAUAUAUGUUGACUUUCUAGGCCACAUGCCUUUGCUUGCAAGGCAAGUUUUCUAUGGAUGGACCACGUAGUUAGCUUGUUCUUUAAGCUUCCAACAUGCGUGGCACAUGGCUAACUUGUUGACGAAGUUUCUAACCUAAAAGUCAACUAUAGACUCCUAUAAAGUCAAAGCAGCGUCUAUGAAGCUUCUAAGAAGCUUCUCUAGAAGAUAUUACACAAUUAACCUACUUUUACAUACUUUUAUCUAUUCAUAUAGGUAAUUAUAU